rnacentral:tRNA from 1 species
CAUCAAGUGACUGAAAGAAAGUAAUGGUCUCUUAAACCACAUAAUAACAGACCGACGCCUGUUCUUGAUGA